UGAAACGUCAUAACGCAUCCGGCGGAUGCCUAGGUUCGCAAAGUUAGUGGCGCCGGACCAAUGAAAGCGCCACUUCCCAACGCGGGGAACUGAAACAUCUUACUACCCGCAGGAAAGGAAACCAACCUGAGAUUCCGUUAAUAGCGGCGAGCGAACGCGGUCCGAAGGCUAAGUUGCGCUCGCGCUCAAAGCAUUAAUACCUGGAAUGGUAUGUCUGUGGGUGAAAUCCCACCCGUUUUAGCGCUUAGCGCGGCAGAAAGUACGGCGGGACACGUGAAACCCCGCCGGAAGAUGGGGGAACCAUCCCCCAAGCCUAAUUACUAAUGCGAAACCGAUAGUGCACAAGUACCGCGAGGGAAAGGUGAAACAAGAGUCUGAGGAAGACAGUGAAACAGAUCCUGAAACCGGAUGCUAACAAUCAGUCGCCCCUUCGGGUUCCAAACCUGCCGACGUACCUUUUGCAUAAUGGGUCAACGAGUUCCCGGCGGGAGCAGAGCUUAAGCUCAAACGAGCGCAGGCGAAGCGAAAGCGAGUCCCAAACGGGCGAAACAUCAAACAAGUUCCCGCCGUUAGACCCGAAACCGAGUGAUCUAGCCAUGGGCAGGCCGAAGGCCGUUUAACUGCGCCCGGAGGGCCGAACUCGUACCUGUUGCAAAAGGUUGGGAUGACCUGUGGUUAGGAGUGAAAGGCCAAUCAAACUCGGAGAUAGCUGGUUCUCUGCGAAAUCUAUUUAAGUAGAGCGCCGAGUUUAAGGUUCCGGGGUAGAGCACUGGAUGGGCGAAGGGACAUCAACCUCCGCUGAGCCCAACCAAACUCCGAAUACGGCCCCUAUCAUGCUCGGCAGUCGCACUGCGAGCGCUAACGUCCGCAGUGGAGAGGGGAACAACCCAGAUUCCGCGAUAAGGUCCCCAAGCCCAAGCUAAACGUGAAAGGAAGUGCAAGUUCGUUGACAAUCGGAAUGUAGGCUCAGAAGCGGCCACCAUUCAAAGAGUGCGUAACAGCUCACCGAUCUAUGGACUUACGCACCGAAGAUGUAACGGGACUAAGCUUGGCACCGAAGCCGGAAGUGCGACCCAUCACGUCGCACGGUAGCAGAGCGUCCCGGCCCCGCAGAAGACGAAUUGCAAAAGCCGUUGGAGGGGCCGGAAGCGAGAAUGUUGACAUGAGUAGCGUAAACGAAGUGAAACUCUUCCCCGCCGUAAGACUAAGGUUUCCCGCUUCGAAGUUCAUCUGAGCGGGGUCAGCCGGCUCCUUAGGCCAAAGCGUAAGCGCAUAACCGAUGGAAAUCACGUUAACAUUCGUGAGCCCUCUUUGAGCAACUUGGAGCCGGCUCAGUGAAACCCAAUCGAAGUGGUCCCGCUCCCGCCGUUCCAACAGGAAAAACCUCAAAGCCUUCGGCCGUACCACAAACCGACACUGGUGGUCUAGUUGAGCAUACUAAGGCGUUUUGGGUCAUUUGCGCUGAAGGAACUCGGCAAAUUGAACGCGUAACCUCGGGAGAAGCGUUGCCUCCCUCGGCGCAAGCCGAGAUGGCGUAACACAAAAGGGGGGAGCGACUGUUUACCAAAAACACAGGACUCUGCCAAAUCGAAAGAUGAUGUAUAGGGUCUGACGCCUGCCCAGUGCUGGCAAACGAACGUCGGAGGUUUCAAAGCAUCCGACGGAAGUUCCAGUUAACGGCGGCCGUAACUAUAACGGUCCAAAGGUAGCGAAAUCCCUUGUCGGGUAAGUUCCGACCUGCACGAAUGGCGUAACGACUUCCCCGCUGUCUCCAGCGCAAGCCCAGCGAAAUUGAAUUCCCCGUGAAGAUGCGGGGUCCCUGCGGCAAGACGGAAAGACCCCGUGCACCUUUACUACAACCUUGUGUUGAUAGCGCUCCGCGUUGAGCGUAGCGUAACCGGCAGGCGACGAACCUUCCGCUCCGGCGGAGGAGGAGCCAACAAUGAAACACCGUCCCACCUCGGAGCGCAAUCUUAUCGGAAGUUGCCAAUCUCCUCCCGAAACCCCGCAAGGUGGCUAGUUUGACUGGGGCGGUCGCCUCCCAAAACGUAACGGAGGCGUGCAAAGGUAAGCUCAAACCGGUUUGAAACCGUUUGUUGAAGCGCAAUGGCACAUGCUUGCCCGACUGCGAGACCCACACGUCGAGCAGAGACGAAAGUCGGCCAUAGUGACCCGGUGGUUCCAAGUGGAAGGGCCAUCGAUCAACGGACAAAAGGUACGCCGGGGAUAACAGGCUAAUAGCUCCCGAGAGCACUCAUCGACGGAGCUGUUUGGCACCUCGAUGUCGACUCAUCGCAUCCUGGGACUGAAGAAGGCCCCAAGGGUAUGGCUGUUCGCCAUUUAAAGCGGUACGUGAGUUGGGUUCAGAACGUCGCAAGACAGUUCGGUCCCUAUCUGCCGCAGGCGCAAGAAUGCCGCCGGGCCCUCCCUCCAGUACGAGAGGACCGAGGGAGCCGAACCACUGGUGUCCCUGUUGUCCCGCCGAGGGCACGGCAGGUUAGCUACGUUCGGAACGGAUAACCGCUGAAAGCAAAUAAGCGGGAAGCCUCCCCGCAGAUUAGCAUUCUACGUUAGAGCCGUGGUAGAUUACCACGUUGAUAGGCCAAAUGUGCAAGCGCAGCAAUGCGCGCAGCUAACUGGUACUAACCCUCAAAAGUUCCCAUGUU
rnacentral:rRNA from 1 species